AGAGUUUGAUCCUGGCUCAGGAUGAACGCUAGCGGCAGGCCUAACACAUGCAAGUCGAACGGUAAGGACCACUUCGGUGGUUACACGAGUGGCGCACGGGUGAGUAACGCGUAUGCAACCUACCCUUAACAGGGGGAUAGCCCGAAGAAAUUCGGAUUAAUACCCCAUAAUACUAUAGAUAAGCAUUUAUUUAUAGUAAAAACUCCGGUGGUUAAGGAUGGGCAUGCGUACCAUUAGAUAGUUGGUAAGGUAACGGCUUACCAAGUCUACGAUGGUUAGGGGGCCUGAGAGGGUGGUCCCCCACACUGGUACUGAGACACGGACCAGACUCCUACGGGAGGCAGCAGUGAGGAAUAUUGCGCAAUGGACGAAAGUCUGACGCAGCCAUGCCGCGUGCAGGAUGACGGCCCUACGGGUUGUAAACUGCUUUUAUACAGGAAGAAAACUUUCAACGUGUUGAGAGUUGACGGUACAGUAGGAAUAGCAUCGGCUAACUCCGUGCCAGCAGCCGCGGUAAUACGGAGGAUGCAAGCGUUAUCCGGAUUUAUUGGGUUUAAAGGGUGCGUAGGCGGAAUAAUAAGUCAGUGGUGAAAUCCUGCAGCUUAACUGUAGAACUGCCAUUGAUACUGUUAUUCUUGAAUAUAGUUGAGGUAGGCGGAAUGUGUAAUGUAGCGGUGAAAUGCAUAGAUAUUACACAGAACACCGAUUGCGUAGGCAGCUUACUAAGCUAUUAUUGACGCUGAGGCACGAAAGCGUGGGGAUCGAACAGGAUUAGAUACCCUGGUAGUCCACGCUGUAAACGAUGAUCACUAGCUGUUGGCGAUACACCGAUCAGCGGCAAAGCGAAAGCAUUAAGUGAUCCACCUGGGGAGUACGGUCGCAAGAUUGAAACUCAAAGGAAUUGACGGGGGCCCGCACAAGCGGAGGAACAUGUGGUUUAAUUCGAUGAUACGCGAGGAACCUUACCUGGGCUUAAAUGCAGGACGACGAACUGGGAAACCAGUUUUCUCUUCGGAGCGGACCGCAAGGUGCUGCAUGGUUGUCGUCAGCUCGUGCCGUGAGGUGUCGGGUUAAGUCCCAUAACGAGCGCGACCCCUAUCGUUAGUUGCCAGCGGAUCAUGCCGGGGACUCUAACGAAACUGCCGGUGUAAACCGAGAGGAAGGUGGGGAUGACGUCAAAUCAGCACGGCCCUUGUGUCCAGGGCUACACACGUGUUACAAUGGUCGGUACAGAGGGCAGCUACUAUGUAAAUAGAUGCCAAUCUCGAAAACCGGUCUUAGUUCGGAUCGAAGUCUGCAACUCGACUUCGUGAAGCUGGAUUCGCUAGUAAUCGCGCAUCAGCCACGGCGCGGUGAAUACGUUCCCGGGCCUUGUACACACCGCCCGUCAAGCCAUGGAAGCUGGGGGUACCUGAAGUCUGUAACCGCAAGGAGCGGCCUAGGGUAAAACUAGUGACUGGGGCUAAGUCGUAACAAGGUA
rnacentral:rRNA from 1 species